GCAUCGGUGGUUCAGUGGUAGAAUGAUCGCCUGCCACGCGUAUUUUUCAAGGGACCGGGAAAAUAUGUUCACUAGAUAAAACGAUGAUUUUGUAAUGUAGAAAAUUAGGAAAGACAAAAUUCAGGAUGACACGGCACACAGGGACCGGGAAAAAAUGUUCACUUUAUCGAGAGAUUCAAAUUUACGAGUUUCAAAUUAUCAAAAUAUAUCUUUUUUUAAAUUUUCCACUUCGUGUCACAGCACCGCGCACCACAAAACUUUUUCACUUUUCAGGCCAAAGACGCCUUCAUGCCUGUGACACAUCUCAUCCCAAAGCGUGUCCACGUCGAAAGUCGCACUUUCACUUCACUCAGGGUUCGAUUCCCGGCCGAUGCA